UUAUUUUUCCCCUAAAAAGAAUUCUCAAUCUCUCAUUAUCCUCUCCGACGAAAGAAACGUCGAAGACGAAGGAGGGUUCUCUUCACUUCCGUCUCCGGUGAGCUCUCCUCUGGGACAGGCUCAUUCCGUUUUGUCAUCUCCACCUCAACUCGCCGUCGUCUGUCAUACAAAAAGAACCCUAAAUCCGAUUUCACUUUUGUCAAAAUCCACCUUUCAAUCUAAGAAAAUUGAACCUGGAUGUUUCAGACAGAACAUAAUUGGCGUUACUAUCUAUGCUUCCUUAGGAGAGGAUGCUUUGAUUUACUCACUCAAUGUGGUUGGUGUGUAAGUUUGUUUUUGUUACGUGAAUUACAGGGAUGUUUCAGACAAACCAAUGCCUCGAGGGGAGAUUGUGGCUGGUGAUAACAGUGUAACAGCAGGUUACUUCAACAAUCAAGCAAAAACCGAUGAGGUUUACAAGGUAGUUGAGCAGAGGCAGCUUUCUUUCAAGUAAUUACGUUGACAACAUUAUGGUACACACAGACCCAAUGAACAGCUACUAUGUAGCUCUUGUUGUAGCAUCAUAUAGAGCAUUAGAGAAAUGGGGCAGAGCAAGCAGGAGUUAAAUACAGCGACUUCUCUGAGCUAUGCGAGAACGGUGAUGCAGUAAACAAGGUUCAACAACCUCUUACCAAGGCGGCAAAAGUAGAAAAGUUUGAAAUUCCAGCAAAGAUAAAGUUAUUGCCGGAGCCGUGGACAUCAGAGUCGGGACUAGCACAGCUGCUCUCAAGAUAAAGAGGGAGAAAAUAAAGGCCAAGUUCAAAGAUGAACUCCACAAGCUGUAAAAAGUCUUAUCUAUUACUUAUGAGUUGUGACAAACUUCAUGUACUUAGGGUUUUGACUUUACUUUUACUAAUAAAGUUUGAUCAUGA